rnacentral:tRNA from 1 species
GGGUACAGCUCAGUGGUAGAGCACAUGCUUAGCAUGCACGAGGUCCUGGGUUCAAUCCCCAGUGCAUCCA